GUUUUUCUCAUCUGUUAUUAUUUGGAUUUUGGCAAGAGGUACAACCCAAAUGCAGGGAUAGGUCGAGGAUCGAGGGGGGGUUUAAUUCUGGCUGAGGUCAUACACAGGGAAGCAGUCCAAAAAGCAGUCCAAAAAUCCUGACACGAGGUCCGAAAAUUACGAGGCAAAACUUGGCACAUGAAAAAAACAAGACUUGACUAAAGUGGGACAGAAAUGCUGUCAUGAGGGAAAUACACGAAUAAGAUGCUUGCAACUGACAACGCAAACCACAAGGCUGAUAUGCUAAUCAGGGUCAAUGAAGCGCUGAUGAUUUCUAUUCUGCUUCCACACUGAACACUUCAAACACCAGCAGUCGACAACAGGGAAUGAAUGAAUUCACUCUACCACUUGAAGAAAGUCAAGUCAUGUAUUAAUCUCCCCGACUGAGUAAACAGCUUUGUGCCAUUCCAAAUGACGUCCAGUCAAGUGAAGUGACCACAGGUGGCCUCCAUUCAAGUUGGAGAAGGACCUCAAGGAUCAUCCGUGGAAAUCAGAGGCACCUGAUCUGAAGUUUGAGUGGCAUUGCAAAUGGUGGAAAGACUGAUUUACGCAUUAUUUACAUGAUUUAUAAAUUGACACACAAAUGUCUAAAAACAUUACUGCCUUAAUGAGGUGUUUUAUGAUUUUUUUUUUUUUCAAAAGAAAACUAUCUUCAAAACAGCUUUUGACGAAAUCUAGCAGCAAAAUGUGGGAAAUGUGAAAUCUUUCUGGUGACACUGUAUGAAAGUCUUGAGAGGUUCUACAUGGACGUACUAUAAAGGUUUAGGUGGAGCAAGCCAUGGCAGAAUUCCAUCCAUGAUCUUUGCUGCUUAUCCUCACGAGGGUUGCACGGUAUCUAUUUACUUUUGCCGCUUAUCCUCACGAGAGUCGCGGGGUAUCUAUCUAUCCAUUUUCUUUUGCUGCUUUUCCUCACGAGGGUUGCAUGGUAUCUAUUUUCUUUUGCCGCUUAUCCUCAUGAGGGUUAUGGAGUAUCUAUCAAUUUAAUUUUGCCUCAUAUCCUCAUGAGCGUCGCGGGGUAAUAUAUCUAUUUACUUUUGCUGCUUAUCUUCAUGAAGGUCGCGGGGUAUAUAUUUAUUCAUUUUCUUUUGCCGCUUAUCCUCAUGAAGGUUAUGGGCUAUCUAUCAAUUUUCUUUUGCCACUUAUCCUAAUGAGGGUUGCGGGGUAUCUAUCUAUCUAUACAUUUUCUUGUGCCGCUUAUCCUCAUGAAGGUCGCGGGGUAUCUAUCGAUACAUUUUCUUGUGCCGCUUAUCCUCACGAGGGUCGUGGGGUAUCUAUCUAUCUAUCUAAGAAGCUUGUAAACUGACACACACACACAUGAACUGGCCACGAAAACUCAACAAACAAAUACAAGACCAAAUGAAAUAAAAAGGUGCAGGUGAGUGGCAUGCCCAAACCCCUGACAAACGCGCUUGUUUUAAAUGGUUGACAAAGCUAUAUCAUAGUUUUCAUGAAGUAGGUAUGAUAGUAAUAGUGAAAUAUGGAACAUUUCUGGAGCGAAAAAGAAGAAGGGUACUAUGACCUCUUUCUAACCUAGCUGCUAUACAGUUCAUGCAGAGAAUGAUCAUUGUUCUAAACAAUCAAUUUUUAAUGGGGUAGUGCAAAAUAAAAACAAUUUUUUACACUUAUGACACGUCUACGUUACCUCCAUCCAAAAGCCUUCAGGCAGACUACACACAUCAGUGAGCUAAAAAUAAAAGAAAAAAAGAUUCAGAAAAAUGGCAACAUAUGCGUGUCCUUUGGAUGGAGAUUAGUGGAGCAGUUUUUACUUUGGAUCAUUGCAGCGCUUUGUAAUUUCAUAAUUUUUGCUCGUGUCCUCUCCUCAGCGCACUUUGAGACGUCGCAUAGUCAAUUCAAUUCUCUUCACUUUGCUCUUUCGGCAGCGUCGCUGAGAUACUGAACAGGAAGCCCGACACACUCGAAUCGCCACACAGGAUGUCUGCUCGCAGAAAUUGAUUUCAACUAUUUGUCCAUGAAACCUUUCGCAGAAAAUAUGAUGCUUUGAAACGGCUUUGUGAAAAGAAUAUAACCUGUGUAUGACUGACUCUCUCAGACAAGGCGACACAUGAUGAGCAACAAAACAACCAACGCCCUGACAUUUCUUCUGACUGCUAUGGAGAUAACUUUCAAAUUUUGUUUUCACAUGAGAGCAUAAGUGAUAUUAAAUAAAUGGUAUCGACACAAAAGAGUAUCCAAUAUGGUCUGCCAGUCAGUACCUGUUAUUUUUACCA